rnacentral:rRNA from 1 species
UCGGUAAUUCCAGCUCCAAUAGCGUAUAUUAAAGUUGUUGCAGUUAAAAAGCUCGUAGUUGGAUUUGUGGUGACAGUUGUGGUCCAUUUUUGGUACUAACGAUUGUUGCCAUCCUUGGGUGGAACCUGUGUGGCAUUAACUUGUCGUGCAGGGGAUGCCCAUCGUUUACUGUGAAAAAAUCAGCGCGUUCAAAGCAGGCUUAUGCCGUUGAAUGUCUUAGCAUGGAAUAAUAAGAUAGGACCUUGGUGCUAUUUUGUUGGUUUGCGUACCGAGGUAAUGAUUAAUAGGGACAGUUGGGGGUAUUCGUAUUCCAUUGUCAGAGGUGAAAUUCUUGGAUUUCUGGAAGACGAACUACUGCGAAAGCAUUUACCAAGGAUGUUUUCAUUAAUCAAGAACGAAAGUUAGGGGAUCGAAGAUGAUUAGAUACCAUCGUAGUCUUAACCAUAAACUAUGCCGACAAGGGAUUGGUGGGGUUUCGUUACGUCUCCAUCAGCACCUUAUGAGAAAUCACAAGUUUUUGGGUUCCGGGGGGAGUAUGGUCGCAAGGCUGAAACUUAAAGAAAUUGACGG